rnacentral:rRNA from 1 species
ACCAACAGGGAUUGCCCUAGUAACGGCGAGUGAAGCGGCAUCAGCUCAAAUUUGAAAUCUGGCUCUUUCAGAGUCCGAGUUGUAAUUUGCAGAGGGCGCUUUGGUGUCGGCAGCGGUCCAAGUUCCUUGGAACAGGACGUCACAGAGGGUGAGAAUCCCGUACGUGGUCGCUGACCUACACCGUGUAAAGCCCCUUCGACGAGUCGAGUUGUUUGGGAAUGCAGCUCUAAAUGGGAGGUAAAUUUCUUCUAAAGCUAAAUACUGGCCAGAGACCGAUAGCGCACAAGUAGAGUGAUCGAAAGAUGAAAAGCACUUUGGAAAGAGAGUCAAACAGCACGUGAAAUUGUUGAAAGGGAAGCGCUUGCAGCCAGACUUGCUUGUAGUUGCUCAUCCGGGCUUUUGCCCGGUGCACUCUUCUGCGAGCAGGCCAGCAUCAGUUUGGACGGUUGGAUAAAGGCCUCUGUCACGUACCUUCUCUCGGGAAGGCCUUAUAGGGGAGGCGUCAUGCAACCAGUCUGGACUGAGGUCCGCGCAUCUGCUAGGAUGCUGGCGUAAUGGCUGUAAGCGGCCCGUCUUGAAACACGGACCAAGGAGUCUAACAUCUAUGCGAGUGUUUGGGUGUCAAGCCCGAGCGCGUAAUGAAAGUGAACGGAGGUGGGAUCCCGCAAGGGUGCACCAUCGACCGAUCCUGAUGUCUUCGGAUGGAUUUGAGUAAGAGCAUGGCUGUUGGGACCCGAAAGAUGGUGAACUAUGCUUGAAUAGGGUGAAGCCAGAGGAAACUCUGGUGGAGGCUCGCAGCGGUUCUGACGUGCAAAUCGAUCGUCAAAUUUGGGCAUAGGGGCGAAAGACUA